UACAGAGGUGCCCGAGCGUUGUUCGGAUUCACUGGGCGUAAAGGGUGCGUAGGUGGUGAGGUAAGUCGGAUGUGAAACUCGUCCGGGCUCAAACCCGGAAAUGGCAUUGGAAACUACCUUGCUGGAGGAUUUGAGGGGGAUUGGAAUACUUGGUGUAGCAGUGAAAUGCGUAGAUAUCAGGAGGAACACCGAUGGCGAAGGCAGGUCUCUGGGCCAACACUGACGCUCAUGCACGAAAGCGUGGGGAGCAAACAGG
rnacentral:rRNA from 1 species